GCAAGUCGAACGAGAACGGGAUAUAGCUUUCUAUAACUGUCAGCUAAGUCGCGCACGGGUGAGUAAUAUAUAGUUAACCUGCCCUUUAGAAAGGAAUAACAGUUGGAAACGACUGCUAAUGCCCUAUAUGCCUUUAUGACAUAAGUCAGCAAGGGAAAUGCUUCUGUGCUCGAGGAUGGGACUGUGUGGUAUCAGAUAGUUGGUGAGGUAAUGGCCUACCAAGUCAAUGACGCCUAGCUGGUUUGAGAGGAUGAUC
rnacentral:rRNA from 1 species